UCAGUCGUAGCCUAGAGGAUAAGGUGAUUGGCUGGAAAUUAAAAGGUCACUGGUUCGAUGCCCAGCUUCACUAGG